GAAAUGCGAUACGUAGUGUGAAUUGCAGAAUUCAGUGAAUCAUCGAAUCUUUGAACGCACAUUGCGCCCUUUGGUAUUCCAUGGGGCAUGCCUGUUCGAGCGUCAUUUGUACCCUCAAGCUCUGCUUGGUGUUGGGUGUUUGUCCCGUCUCCGCGCGUGGACUCGCCCCAAAGUGAUUGGCAGCCGGCGUACUGGUCCCGGAGCGCAGCACAUGUCGCGCAAACGAGUGCCUUGGUACGGCGGCGUCCAUAAGCCCCUCUCUCACGCUCUUGACCUCGGAUCAGGUAGGGAUACCCGCUGAACUUAAGC
rnacentral:misc_RNA from 1 species